AGAACAUAGCUGCACAAAGUACUGGGACCCUGGAGUUACAAUCCUAUCAGGAAACUCUGGCCAUCUCAGGGCCCCAGGGGACACCUGCACCUACAAGCAGGUGGUCGUCCAGUAUCUCCUUGUCUGGCAUCACUGAAACCAACUUAAAACAGUGCUUGAUCUGCAAUGCUUAUAUUUAUAAAGCCAGUUUUUCUGGGGCUGAUCUGAAGCCCACUGACAAAAACUCCCACUGACUUCCAAAGGAUUGGAAUUGGGCUUUCCAUGAGCAAAGGUCUGCUUGUUUCAGUGUGUGCAAAAGGUGGAACAAAACCAUCUAAGACUCCUGGAGCAAAGGAAGGUGUCCAGGUGUUGUUUGCCUUUCCUUUCCCUUGCAUUCACUUUGACUCUUUUAGUAACAGAGGUGUUAUCCUCCCAAUGAGGAGGACCCCUCUGUGUCCUCACCAGAGGGUCCCCAGCACACAGAGCCACAGCAGCACAACCCAGCACAAACCUCCACACAGCAAAGCAGCUCCGAGCAGAGCCUUGGUCAGAAGUGCUAACUCUGCAUGCCUCCGUAGUCCAUAAUCAUAAAUCAUAGUGAGUCUAGAAUUACAAGUGCUGAAUACUGCUACUCAAUCCCUCUGCAGUGCUGCCUUCAAGCUAUGAAAGAUACCAGUUUUUUUGGGAUCUCUACAUUGAGACAUCCAAAGGGGUCUGAAGGACAAAGAUGCCCACUGUGAACAGGAUGAUAAUGUGUUCAGAGGUCAAACAAGUCCUCUAGUUAGAGUCCACAAGAAUGUUACUCUCUGAAACCCUGUUCAGUGAGUCCAAAUGAAGUUCUGAGCAAGCGUGAUGGCCAUUUUGUCUGUGAGCUCUGGGAUGUGAUGCUGGGCAUUGGAAAAGCAGAAGGAUGGCCUUUGCCAAUGGGAGCAGCACCCUCGAGUGGGAAAAUGAAGUUCCUCCCAGUCAGCAGGACCUGAGCUGACUGACUCCUCACUCCCAGCUGUCUCUCACCUGUAAUGGACUCCCACCCGUCCCGCCUGUGGCUGUGCCUUUCCACGGGGCCUUCUGGUUCUGGCUUGUGUGUCAUUUGUACCACAUGGAAGAGCAGCAGUGGAGAGCAGUCUGUGCUCUUGAGAGGUUGUGGCAUCCUCUCAACAAUAUCUCAGACCUCAGCUGCCAGAAGGGAGAUGUCUUCUGUUAAUGGGCCAGUGAGUCUCACUGAUAAAAUUACAUCAUCCCAUUGUGAGGUGUGCCGCCCAGAGGGAGCAGCCAAGCAUUCCUACCCGGAUGUAAUCAGAGAUUUGGAAGACCAUAGUCAGCCUUUUCCCACUGGAUCUUCAGAGGAAGACCAGGCCCAUCUACACCACCACUGGAUCUUCAGAGGAAAACUACACCUUUCUACAGGAUCACUGCUUCAACAGAACCACACCUGUCACUGCAGGAGGACUGCAACCACCACACUUUCUAUGGUUCUGCAAUGAUUAUCCUUAAAACUACAAAAUCAAUUCAUUCAAAUCAAUUGCAUUAUAUGUAUCCAAAUCAUUUCCAUCCCAAAUGUUCUCCAGAAAUGCAACCCAUGAAUUCUUCCAUUUGAAGAUUUCUCCAAUUUCUGGAAAAUGGAAAGUAAAACUUACCUAUUUUUUUCUGAUGCUUUCCCAUGAGGAAAAGAAAGAAAUGCAUAUAAUUUAAAAAAAUCAUCCCCUCCACCAAGCACUGAUUAACCCCCAGUAGGUUACAAUCCCCCACAUGGCAGAAGGGCUGCAGGGUCUGGAUGUGCCCCAAAGCAUGUGCUGCUGCAGCACAUUUUGGUGUAUGCUUAGUCCAGUUCACCAUUGCAUCUCUGCUCUGAUAUAUUUCCAUCCCCAAAUCAAUCAUUGUUGUGUUGCACUAAGUAGUUUAUUUAGUUAUUAUUUUGCCCUGGGUGAUUGGAAUUUUGCACUGAGUAGUUUUUAUAUUGCACUAAGUGGUUUGUUUGUAUGACAUGGUUUGUUCUGUUCUCCCCUCUCCUCCAAAGCCCUGUGGUGGUGGUCUUAGCCCAGGUUGCUUCCUCCCCUCGCCCCUCCCAUUUUUUGUAUCCCAUUGGCUGUGGCUCCUCUCCUCUGCCCCCCUUCCCUCGGGUUUAAAAUCUCCUACCAUGAGCCAUUCUUUCUCUUUCUUCUCCUGGACAGCUCCAUCCCAGGCUCUCUUUCUUUUCCUGGAUGCCAUUACCUCCCUCCCAGACUCUCUCUUUCCCCAGAGGUGUUCCACAAUAAAGUUGUGGGACAUUCAUCCCUAGAAGAGCAUCCUUUGUCUUCUGCUUUUGUCCUUGUUGGUGAAGCCAGGGUCCAGAGCUAGCCAAAGUGGACCCCCACAAGGCUUUCAAUCUGACAAAUCAUCCAGUGAAAAAGGAGCUUUCCUGUGACACAAGGGAAAAUAAAAAAGACAUUCAAUAUCUUUAGGUGCUAAAUUGAAACACAAGGAUUUCUUUCUCAUACUAAACCUGUAGGACAGGAUUUCACAGCGGGGGAGACUAAGGGCAUAGGUUGGUUUUCCCUUUUUCAUUUAGUUCCAGUGUUUAUUUCAGCCAGGGGUCUGUAGAAACUCUGCCACACUGAAGGCUGUUCCUUUUCCCCCCUAACCUGCACUUCCCAAUGACGGAAGUGAUGGAUUUAGGAGCACAGCUGCA